CUGCCAUCAAGUUGAUAUACCAAAAUUCUGCCAGGGAAUACUAGCCUACGAGGCAGCCUGACCAAAGAUUUGGGCCUCAUAUUAUUUCCAAAAUAAUAAUAACUCGUUCCUUUAUUUUGUAUGUACGUUUAUAUCUUCAGAUAUCCAGCCAUCUUAAGACAUGCUGUCGAUGCCCGAACUAAUCGACAGAGAGAAGACCAUCCCUGCAGGAGUUUAGUGACAUUGGACCUAUUUUAGAAGAUGCAUUUCAACUUCAACCUUGAAUUAACUGGAGAACUCAAUGGGCCACAUAAACAUCAGGGAAAAUCAACACCGACUGUGUUUCACUCUCAAAGGGACUUUCUAUCUUAAAAGGAGGACGACGUUUAAAGGGAAACCGAGUUAACGCUUCUGGCAAUCAGCGCUCCAACUGACUCCGGGCUAAUUGACGACGACGACGUCUUUUAUCUGUGCCUCUGAGCCUCUGCAACAAACACAUGGAAUCAAUUUAAUAGACUCUCCUUCAGACCAUCUAAAUGAGGGAGCAAAGUCAAGACCCGUGGAAAUCCAACAAGGACAAAUUAUACAGGAUAAAAAAUAAAACUCAAGGUGAAGCCAGAUUCAUACUUUGUUUCUGUUCAUAAGGUCACUGUAGGAGCAAUGCCUCAAUAUUCGCUCUUGAGUGUGACUCAUGAGUGUUAAGAUGUUAUAUUAAAAUGAUUUUAAUUGAUGAUAUGUCAUGCCAAUAUUUUUAAUGCUAUUCAUGCAUCAAGUCCAUUGUACUCAAACUCGUGUGUUUGGUUUUACAACAACCUGGUUGACUAAUAGUAAGGCUGACUUACCCUCCAGCCAAAAGCAGUGUGAAAAUAAAUAUAUCUUUGCUUACUUAACUGCCAAGCAGCAGUACCUUCUGCAACCAGCCAUCCUGUGGACCUGAGCAUACAUGUACAGGGCAUGCUAGUUCUCUCUCUCACUCACUCUUAUUUUCUCUUCCUAUCUUUUUCUCUCUCAAGUAACUCACUUUCUAAGUGAGGCCCUCUCUUUCCCCCAUCCUCCCAGUGUUAGGCUAGCCCUCGCUCUAACCCAACCACCCUGUGCAAUCUUAGCCAUCUCUCCCCCACCCUACCUGUGCUAGGCUAGCCCUCUCUCUCCCCCACCCUCCCAGUGCUAGGGCUAGACCUCCCC
ensembl:lncRNA